GUAGGGAAUAUUGGGCAAUGGAGGCAACUCUGACCCAGCCAUGCCGCGUGCAGGAUGAAGGCCCUCUGGGUUGUAAACUGCUUUUAUCUGGGAAGAAACCUUUAGAUUCAUCUGAAGCUGACGGUACCAGAGGAAUAAGCACCGGCUAACUCCGUGCCAGCAGCCGCGGUAAUACGGAGGGUGCAAGCGUUAUCCGGAUUUACUGGGUUUAAAGGGUGCGCAGGCGGACUGUUAAGUCAGUGGUGAAAGCCCCGGGCUCAACCUGGGAAUUGCCAUUGAUACUGGCGGUCUUGAGUACAGUAGAGGUAGGCGGAAUGCAACAUGUAGCGGUGAAAUGCUUAGAUAUGUUGCAGAACACCGAUUGCGAAGGCAGCUUGCUAUGCUGUUACUGACGCUCAGGCACGAAAGCGUGGGGAUCAAACAGGAUUAGAAACCCUAGUAGUCC
rnacentral:rRNA from 1 species